rnacentral:lncRNA from 1 species
UGCCUGGGACUUACGAAUUUUGCUUGUACAAGAUUUAUUAUCUUAUUUUAAACUACAGAAUUCCAAAACACAAGGCAAACCCGGGCCCAAAGGUCUUUGUAGAAGUGGUAGCAGCUGAGAAGGGGACGUUCAUAAUGGCACAUGGAAAUUGGAGGCGUGUGGAGAGAAAACAGACUGUGGGGUCUGAAGACCUGGAACUGUGUACCAGUCCUAUAGUUAACAAGCUCAACCUAUCAGCUGAGGAAUAAUACUUUUCUUGCAUUAUAUCAUGGAGAAAGCUUCAAUUUUAUGCUGGUAUGUCCUUAACACCUUUCUAUCCUUGAUCUUAGCCAAAAGGUUGAGAAGCAGUCUUCAACACCUUUCUAAUCCCUCACUGAUUUUCCUUUUUUAACAGAGCAAACCUCAGGCUCAGACCCUUUGGCAGGCAGCAGUAUCUAGCUGGAAUUUAAAAAUCACUCCCCUCACCUCCCGCGGCAUUUGAUGUUAAGGUCACUACUAAUUAUGGCAAGUGAUCCUGCUAUUCCAUUUACAAAAAUAAUACAAU